UACGUAGGGGGCGAGCGUUGUCCGGAUUUAUUGGGCGUAAAGAGCUCGUAGGCGGUUUGGCAAGUCGGGUUUGAAAACUCCGGGCUCAACUCGGAGACGCCACUCGAUACUGCUAUGACUCGAGUCCGGUAGGGGAGUGCGGAAUUCCUGGUGUAGCGGUGAAAUGCGCAGAUAUCAGGAGGAACACCGGUGGCGAAGGCGGCACUCUGGGCCGGAACUGACGCUGAAACGCGAAAGCGUGGGGAGCAAACAGG
rnacentral:rRNA from 1 species